rfam:Gloeophyllum trabeum ATCC 11539 unplaced genomic scaffold GLOTRscaffold_00013, whole genome shotgun sequence.
GGCCGACUAGCUCAGUUGGUUUAGAGCGUGGUGCUAAUAUUUCGUUACGCCAAGGUCGUCGGUUCGACCCCGGCGUUGGCCA